UGAAAGAUCACCACAUUAUCUUAUGCAAAAGCUAGUGAGAGGAGGGCAAUUUCCCAGGCCGAAAGAUGGAGAACUUUAAACUUCAGUAUUUUUAUGUCAACAGAAUUUAAGGACACCACUUUUCUUGGACAGCUCAUUCCACUGGCAUUCCAGAGGGGACUUCACUGGCUAGACUUUGAUGGGAGUAGCUAUGACAGAAAGUUACCAAGAUAAAACAGCAUCUUUAAUGCAAAAGCACAUGAAAAACAGUUUAAGAAGCAACGCAGAAGAACACUACGGAGAAAACAAAGCUCAACAUGAAGGUAUUUUGUAUCCAAUAAAGGAGGGAUUUGGGAAAUCUUA